GGGUCAGUAGGUUGGUCGUGCCACCGGUACGUACUGGUCUCACUGAUUCCUCCUUCCUGAAGAGCCGUAAUGCCAUUAAUUUGGUGUUGCGGGGAAACAGGACUGUUACUUUGAAAAAUUAGAGUGUUUAAAGCAAGCUAACGCUUGAAUACAUUAGCAUGGAAUAAUGAAAUAGGACGAUCGAUCCUAUUUUGUUGGUUUCUAGGAUUGACGUA
rnacentral:rRNA from 1 species